UACGAAGGGGGCUAGCGUUGUUCGGAAUACUGGGCGUAAAGCGUGCGCAGGCGGCUUCUCAAGUCAGGGGUGAAAGCCCAGAGCUCAACUCUGGAAUUGCCUUUGAGACUGAGUGGCUUGAGUACGAGAGAGGUGAGUGGAAUUCCCAGUGUAGCGGUGAAAUGCGUAGAUAUUGGGAGGAACACCAGUGGCGAAGGCGGCUCACUGGACCGGUUCUGACGCUGAUGCGCGAAAGCGUGGGGAGCAAACGGG
rnacentral:rRNA from 1 species